rnacentral:rRNA from 1 species
AACGAACGCUGGCGGCAGGCCUAACACAUGCGAGUCGAGCGAGAUCUUCGGGUCUAGCGGCGGACGGGUGAGUAACGCGUGGGUAUAUGCCUCUUGGUACGGAAUAGCCUCGGGAAACUGGGAGUAAUACCGUAUGUGCCCUUUGGGGGAAAGAUUUAUCGCCAAGAGAUUAGCCCGCGUUGGAUUAGGUAGUUGGUGGGGUAAUGGCCUACCAAGCCGACGAUCCAUAGCUGGUUUGAGAGGAUGAUCAGCCACACUGGGACUGAGACACGGCCCAGACUCCUACGGGAGGCAGCAGUGGGGAAUCUUAGACAAUGGGGGCAACCCUGAUCUAGCCAUGCCGCGUGAGUGAUGAAGGCCUUAGGGUUGUAAAGCUCUUUCAGCUGGGAAGAUAAUGACGGUACCAGCAGAAGAAGCCCCGGCUAACUCCGUG